rnacentral:rRNA from 1 species
CCUACGGGAGGCAGCAGUAGGGAAUAUUGGGCAAUGGAGGCAACUCUGACCCAGCCAUGCCGCGUGCAGGAUGAAGGCGUUAUGCGUUGUAAACUGCUUUUAUAUAGGAAGAAAGAGUUCUUGCGAGAACAGUUGACGGUACUAUAUGAAUAAGCACCGGCUAACUCCGUGCCAGCAGCCGCGGUAAUACGGAGGGUGCAAGCGUUGUCCGGAUUUAUUGGGUUUAAAGGGUGCGUAGGCGGUUUAUUAAGUCAGUGGUGAAAGACGGUCGCUCAACGAUUGCAGUGCCAUUGAUACUGGUAGACUUGAGUGAGAUUGAGGUAGCUGGAAUGGAUAGUGUAGCGGUGAAAUGCAUAGAUAUUAUCCAGAACACCAAUUGCGUAGGCAAGUUACUAAGUCUUAACUGACGCUGAGGCACGAAAGUGUGGGUAUCAAACAGGAUUAGAUACCCUGGUAGUCCACACUGUAAACGAUGAUAACUAACUGUUGGCUUUCGGGUCNGUGGUACGGAGAAAUCGUUAAGUUAUCCACCUGGGGAGUACGCCGGCAACGGUGAAACUUAAAUGAAUUGACCGG